rnacentral:rRNA from 1 species
ACUCCUGCGGGAGGCAGCAGUGGGGAAUAUUGGACAAUGGGCGCAAGCCUGAUCCAGCCAUGCCGCGUGAGUGAUGAAGGCCCUAGGGUUGUAAAGCUCUUUCACCGGUGAAGAUAAUGACGGUAACCGGAGAAGAAGCCCCGGCUAACUUCGUGCCAGCAGCCGCGGUAAUACGAAGGGGGCUAGCGUUGUUCGGAUUUACUGGGCGUAAAGCGCACGUAGGCGGACUAUUAAGUCAGGGGUGAAAUCCCGGGGCUCAACCCCGGAACUGCCUUUGAUACUGGUAGUCUUGAGUUCGAGAGAGGUGAGUGGAAUUCCGAGUGUAGAGGUGAAAUUCGUAGAUAUUCGGAGGAACACCAGUGGCGAAGGCGGCUCACUGGCUCGAUACUGACGCUGAGGUGCGAAAGCGUGGGGAGCAAACAGGAUUAGAUACCCGGGUAGUCC